rnacentral:rRNA from 1 species
GAUGAACGCUGGCGGCGUGCCUAAUACAUGCAAGUCGAGCGAACAGAUGAGGAGCUUGCUCCUCUGACGUUAGCGGCGGACGGGUGAGUAACACGUGGAUAACCUACCUAUAAGACUGGGAUAACUUCGGGAAACCGGAGCUAAUACCGGAUAAUAUAUUGAACCGCAUGGUUCAAUAGUGAAAGACGGUUUUGCUGUCACUUAUAGAUGGAUCCGCGCCGCAUUAGCUAGUUGGUAAGGUAACGGCUUACCAAGGCAACGAUGCGUAGCCGACCUGAGAGGGUGAUCGGCCACACUGGAACUGAGACACGGUCCAGACUCCUACGGGACGCAGCAGUCGGGAAUCUUCCGCAAUGGGCGAAAGCCUGACGGAGCAACGCCGCGUGAGUGAUGAAGGUCUUCGGAUCGUAAAACUCUGUUAUUAGGGAAGAACAAAUGUGUAAGUAACUAUGCACGUCUUGACGGUACCUAAUCAGAAAGCCACGGCUAACUACGUG